GCGAUGAAGAUUUAAAGGAGUAUUUAACACAAUUGGCCAGUAUAUUAUUUAAUUUGGACAGUGAAUGUUCUAAUAACAAUCAUGUAACCAAUUUACAGAACUGACGAGAUGGCUCUCUCACUUACGGUAGAAGAAACAAACUUCCUUCGCUUGGUUGCGUUGACCAUUGGUGUUGCCCCAAGAGCUGUUCGUUGCUAUUUUGACGGAGUCUUACAUCCAAACAAUCUUCAAACUACACUACUGAAUCAACAAAAGACAAUAGAUGAUUUAAGAUAUCGCAAAAAAGUUCUAACAUCAGUUCAGUACAACACAUUAUUUCAUUCGGGAUCUGCAGUUACAUCUAAGAACUUCGACAUUACAUUAAUGAUAUGCCUUCUGAGGAAUAUAAGUGGAAUAGCUC